ACGGUUACCUUGUUACGACUUAGCCCCAGUCAUCGGUUUUGCCCUAGGGCGCUGCUCGCGCUCACGCACUUCAGGCACUCCCGACUCCCAUGGCUUGAUGGGCGGUGUGUACAAGGCCCGGGAACGUAUUCACCGCGCCGUGGCUGAUGCGCGAUUACUAGCGAAUCCAGCUUCAUGGAGUCGGGUUGCAGACUCCAAUCCGAACUGAGACAGGCUUUCGGGUUCCGCUCCCUGUCGCCAGGUGGCUUCCCGCUGUACCUGCCAUUGUAACACGUGUGUCGCCCCGGACGUAAGGGCCGUGCUGAUUUGACGUCAUCCCCGCCUUCCUCGCAGCUUGCGCCGGCAGUCCCGCCAGAGUCCCCAGCUUUGCCUGUUGGCAACUGGCGGUAGGGGUUGCGCUCGUUAUGGCACUUAAGCCGACACCUCACGGCACGAGCUGACGACAACCAUGCAGCACCUCGUCGCAGGUCCGUAGACGGGCAUCCUUUCAGACACCCUUCCUGCAACGUUUGAGCCC
rnacentral:rRNA from 1 species